CCUACGGGUGGCUGCAGUGGGGAAUAUUGGACAAUGGGCGAAAGCCUGAUCCAGCCAUGCCGCGUGUGUGAAGAAGGCCUUCGGGUUGUAAAGCACUUUCAGUGGGGAAGAAAGCCUUGGGGCUAAUACCCUCGAGGAAGGACAUCACCCACAGAAGAAGCACCGGCUAACUCCGUGCCAGCAGCCGCGGUAAUACGUAGGGUGCGAGCGUUAAUCGGAAUUACUGGGCGUAAAGCGCGCGUAGGCGGUCUGAUAAGCCGGUUGUGAAAGCCCCGGGCUCAACCUGGGAACGGCAUCCGGAACUGUCAGGCUAGAGUGCAGGAGAGGAAGGUAGAAUUCCCGGUGUAGCGGUGAAAUGCGUAGAGAGCGGGAGGAAUACCAGUGGCGAAGGCGGCCUUCUGGACUGACACUGACGCUGAGGUGCGAAAGCGUGGGUAGCAAACAGGAUUAGAUACCCUAGUAGUC
rnacentral:rRNA from 1 species